UGGGGAAUAUUGCACAAUGGGCGCAAGCCUGAUGCAGCAACGCCGCGUGAACGAUGAAGGUCUUCGGAUCGUAAAGUUCUGUUGCAGGGGAAGAUAAUGACGGUACCCUGUGAGGAAGCCCCGGCUAACUACGUGCCAGCAGCCGCGGUAAUACGUAGGGGGCUAGCGUUAUCCGGAUUUACUGGGCGUAAAGGGUGCGUAGGUGGUCUUUCAAGUCGGUGGUUAAAGGCUACGGCUCAACCGUAGUUAGCCUCCGAAACUGGAAGACUUGAGUGCAGGAGAGGAAAGUGGAAUUCCCAGUGUAGCGGUGAAAUGCGUAGAUAUUGGGAGGAACACCAGUAGCGAAGGCGGCUUUCUGGACUGCAACUGACACUGAGGCACGAAAGCGUGGGGAGCGAACAGG
rnacentral:rRNA from 1 species